CAAAGGGCCAGGGUCUCCUAGGCCCCUGGCAUGGCUGAAAAACAGCAGCUUUGUUUGCAGUCUGGAAAUCCUUGUCCCUGCCCUACCCAAUAAAAGGAUACAAUACACCAGCCCAGCUGAACCACAGGAAGCUAUAUAGUGAGAAAAAGACAGCAUUUUGUCUCAUCAAUCAACCCUUAUGGACAUGUCAUCUGCAUCAGCCUAACUCCUAAUAAUGGCCAAGGACAACUCCCUCUCUAAUCCCAGAGCUACUUCUAUCUUACACUGUGACUCACUGGACCCAGUCUCUGCUAGAUGUGGUCUCUCCUACUGGGCAAGUAGCACUUCUGCAAGACUCCAUGAGCUAUGGUAAGAAUAGAAAAAAGAAAAAUACCAUCUCCUUUAAGCUGAAGAAAGAUUCCCUCUUAGGAGUUUGAGUCUUCCACCACAACCAGCUCUCUUCUCUGCUGCCAGAAGUCAUACUACACAGAGCCAUCCCCUACUAACUACA